rnacentral:rRNA from 1 species
GCGAUCAUACGAGCACUCAUGCACCGGAUCCCAUCAGAACUCCGCAGUUAAACGUGCUUGGGCGAGAGUAGUACUAGGAUGGGUGACCUCCUGGGAAGUCCUCAUGUUGCACCCC